ensembl:lncRNA
CUCCUCUCCCAGCUGAGCUUGCAGCUGCUGCUGCGUUAAAUCACUGUUGUUUCCACCAAUGAGUUGUUCCCCUAAAAUCCGCCAGCGUGGCUGCGGAGCGUAGAGAUCCAAUGGAAGACAAUUCUACUCACGGUUUAAAGUGGCUUCCACCAGGACCACAGCCAAAACCUGUGUGGAUUUCCCAGAAUAACUCCUGCUUUUAGUGCCAUCAUCUCCUGGAACAUUUCCUCAAACCAAAGCCAAGCUCCCUGUCCCUGUGCCAAGCUGAGCUGCUGCAAGGCCAACUGUGAAAGGCUGCUGUGUAUGAAGAUGCUUUCUUUUCCCACAGCCAGUGCUCAGGUCAGGGUGCUUAUGGAAGGACAAACUGCUGUGCCGAGCCAAAACUCUGCUGUAUUGUCUGGUUGUGAUGAUAGUGAUGUUAUUAACCAGGUAGGACUGCUCUGCACCAGUAGAAGUG